GACGAACGCUGGCGGCGGGCUUAACACAUGCAAGUCGAACGGAAAGGCCCUGCGUUUGUGGGGUUCUCGGGUGGCGAACGGGUGAGUAACACGUGAGUAACCUGCCCUUGACUUUGGGAUAACUUCACGUAACUGGGGCUAAUCCCGUAUCGGAGCUCCUGCACCGUUGUGAGCGUUGGAAAGUUUCGGCGGUUGGGGAUGGACUCGCGGCUUAUCAGCUUGUUGGUGGGGUAGUGGCUGACCAAGGCUUUGACGGGUAGCCGGCCUGAGAGGGUGACCGGCCACAUUGGGACUGAGAUACGGCCCAGACUGCUACGGGAGGCAGCAGGGGGGAAUAUGGCACAAUGGGCGGAAGCCUGAUGCAGAAACGCCGCGUGCGGGAUGACGGCCUGCGGGGUGUAAACCGCUUUCGCCUGUGACGAAGCGUGAGUGACGGUAAUGGGUAAAGAAGCACCGGCUAACUACGUG
rnacentral:rRNA from 1 species